GAUGAAGAACGUAGCGAAAUGCGAUAAGUAAUGUGAAUUGCAGAAUUCAGUGAAUCAUCGAAUCUUUGAACGCACAUUGCGCCCGCCAGCACUCUGGCGGGCAUGCCUGUUCGAGCGUCAUUUCAACCAUCAAGCCCCCAGGGGCUUGUGCUGGGGCCCUGCGGCUGCCCGCAGGCCCUGAAAACCAGUGGCGGGCUCGCUAGUCACACCGGGCGUAGUAGAUUUUAUCUCGCUCAGGGCGUGCUGCGGGUUCCGGCCGUUAAAAAGCCUUUUUUACCCAAGGUUGACCUCGGAUCAGGUAGGAAGACCCGCUGAACUUAAGCAUAUCAAUAAGCGGAGGA
rnacentral:misc_RNA from 1 species